rnacentral:sRNA from 1 species
GGAAAGAAACCCUUCAACUCUACAAUCUUCUGAU